GAGUUUGAUCCUGGCUCAGGAUGAACGCUGGCGGCGUGCUUAACACAUGCAAGUCGAACGGAGAUUAUACGCAGAGGCGAUUUCGGUCAAAUCAUGUGUAAUCUUAGUGGCGGACGGGUGAGUAACGCGUGGGUAACCUGCCUUACACUGGGGGAUAACACUUAGAAAUAGGUGCUAAUACCGCAUAAGCGCACGAAGCCGCAUGGAUUUGUGUGAAAAACUCCGGUGGUGUAAGAUGGACCCGCGUCUGAUUAGCUUGUUGGCGGGUAACGGCCCAUCAAGGCGACGAUCAGUAGCCGGCCUGAGAGGGUGGACGGCCACAUUGGGACUGAGACACGGCCCAAACUCCUACGGGAGGCAGCAGUGGGGGAUAUUGGACAAUGGGGGAACCCGUGAUCCAGCGACGCCGCGUGAGUGAAGAAGUAUUUCGGUAUGUAAAGCUCUGUCAGCAGGGAAGAAAGAAAUGACGGUACCUGACCAAGAAGCCCCGGCUAACUACGUGCCAGCCGCCGCGGUAAG
rnacentral:rRNA from 1 species